GAUGAACGCUAGCGGCAGGCCUAACACAUGCAAGUCGAGGGGUAGAACACUUCGGUGUUUGAGACCGGCGCACGGGUGCGUAACGCGUAUGCAAUCUACCUUGUACAGGGGAAUAGCCCAGAGAAAUUUGGAUUAAUGCCCCAUAGUAUAUAACCUUCGCAUGUUGGUUAUAUUAAAGUUCCAACGGUACAAGAUGAGCAUGCGUCCCAUUAGUUAGUUGGUAAGGUAACGGCUUACCAAGACGAUGAUGGGUAGGGGUCCUGAGAGGGGGAUCCCCCACACUGGUACUGAGACACGGACCAGACUCCUACGGGAGGAAGCAGUGAGGAAUAUUGGUCAAUGGGCGCAAGCCUGAACCAGCCAUGCCGCGUGCAGGAAGACGGUCCUAUGGAUUGUAAACUGCUUUUAUACAGGAAGAAACAACUCUACGUGUAGAGUCUUGACGGUACUGUAGGAAUAAGGAUCGGCUAACUCCGUGCCAGCAGCCGCCGUAACAC
rnacentral:rRNA from 1 species